rnacentral:lncRNA from 1 species
UAGCCAAGAAUUUGGAUGAAUCUGUCCUCUGCUCACUAGCCACAUGACCUUGGACAUGUUUAUUAGCUUUCCGAGCCUUCAUUUUCUCAGCUAUAAAAUGAGGUUAUUAUCUCAAAAAAUUGUUAUAAGCAUCAACAGAGAUAAGGAAUGAUUCCUGGUGAAAUCAUAAACGUCUUCUCCUGUCUCUGUACCUUACCCAGUUCUGGGGUGACCAGGUGAGUGCCUGGAGUGGCUGUCCCAUGGGUCAGAGCAAAGGUCACAUGUGCUUGAGGAAUCAGCACUAAAUCAGAUUUCACUAGCCAUCCUCCCUCCAGAGUGUUCCCUUUGGCUCUUUUUGUCUUCCCUAUCUCCUGUCUUUAAUCUCCCCUUCUUCCUUUCCCUUGUGUUCACUCAGCUAGCACUUUCUGAGAGGUUCUCUGUCCCAGAUACCCUGCUGGCUGGGGCAGUGCAUGAAUCACAUGCAGUUGAGAAUGUGAGCAGUGUCUUGCCUGGUGCUGACAGAGAACGGAAGAGGAGGGCCGUGCUCUAAGGGAGGCCUGUGCUGUGGGUUUACAGAGGGGCUGUCCUUUGGCGGGGGCAAGGCUAGAGGAGUGGUGGCCAGACAGGGGAAGUUUACACUAGGAAUAAGAUGUUUGAGCCUGUCUUUGAAGAACAGAUAAUGACUUUCUACACAGAGAAGAUGAGGGAGGCUGCCAUCCCCAGAACAUUUUGAUCCUAAAAUAUUGGAGCUAAAUUCGUCCUUUGAGAUCAGCUGACUCGAUGAUUACCAGACUCUGUGCACAGCCAAAUCAUCAGGAUGGUUUCCUAGGAGUGAUAUUUCCGGGCCAGAGUAAACGGCUAUGUGAAAUUGUUAGCUAUUGCCAGCUUGCCCAGGAAACUGAUUUCCAUCUGCAGCGAAUUAUAGCCAUGACAAUACAGCAACAGGACUGUGGCAGGGAGGAGACCCAGUGGCGAUCCCACCCUCUCUGCAGCAGGGGCGCACCUUGACCGACAGUUUGCCCCGUGCUGCCGCACCUGGGGCACUUCCCAAAUCCUGGCCCGAGAGGAGACACCAUCCCGCCACCCCGCCACCCCACCUUCCCGGCCCAAGGCUUCGGCUGCUCCGUGACAGGCAGGCAGAGGGCAUGUUAAAGCAAAAUCGGCCUCAUUAAACUGAAAAGUUCAAGCAAAUGUAGCAAUUUGUUAUCAGAGGGCAGUCAGCUCUCUCAGAAGACCAAGUGGGGACCAGAAGACGGGGCCAGGUGGCCUACAGCUGUGCUUUGAAGAAGACAGUCCGGGCCAGGGCUGGUCACCUCCCAUCUCUGGGAAGACAGCAGCCCACGCUUCUCUCAGCGUUGCUCUUUCAGCCUCUGCUGACAUCAAGGAUCUCCUGCAGAGGUCCUGACAGCUGGAGAGCGAGCUGCUUUUGUUU